UACGUAGGGAGCAAGCGUUGUCCGGAAUCAUUGGGCGUAAAGCGCGCGUAGGUGGCCCGGUAAGUCCGCUCUGAAAGUCACAGGCUCAACCUGUGAAAGCGGGUGGAUACUGCCGGGCUAGAGUCCGGAAGAGGCGAGUGGAAUUCCUGGUGUAGCGGUGGAAUGCGCAGAUAUCAGGAGGAACACCAACGGCGAAGGCAGCUCGCUGGGACGGUACUGACACUGAGACGCGAAAGCGUGGGGAGCGAACAGG
rnacentral:rRNA from 1 species